rnacentral:rRNA from 1 species
GAUGAACGCUAGCGGCAGGCUUAACACAUGCAAGUCGAGGGGUAGAAGCAGCUUGCUGCUUUGAGACCGGCGCACGGGUGCGUAACGCGUAUGCAAUCUACCUUUUACAGAGGGAUAGCCCAGAGAAAUUUGGAUUAAUACCUCAUAGUAUGUGAGAAUCGCAUGGUUUUCACAUUAAAGUUCCAACGGUAAAGAUGAGCAUGCGUCCCAUUAGCUAGAUGGUAAGGUAACGGCUUACCAUGGCGACGAUGGGUAGGGGUCCUGAGAGGGAGAUCCCCCACACUGGUACUGAGACACGGACCAGACUCCUACGGGAGGCAGCAGUGAGGAAUAUUGGACAAUGGGCGCAAGCCUGAUCCAGCCAUGCCGCGUGCAGGAUGACGGUCCUAUGGAUUGGUAAACUGCUUUUUGUACCAGGAAGAAACCCUACUACGUGUAGUAGAUUGACGGUACCGUACGAAUAAGGAUCGGCUAACUCCGUGCCAG